rnacentral:rRNA from 1 species
UCAGCCUACGGGGCGCAGCAGUGAGGAAUAUUGGUCAAUGGGCGGAAGCCUGAACCAGCCAAGUCGCGUGAGGGAAGAAGGCCCUGCGGGUCGCAGACCUCUUUGGACGGGGAGCAAGGCCGCCGACGUGUCGGCGGAAGGAGAGUACCCGUAGAACAAGCAUCGGCUAACUCCGUGCCAGCAGCCGCGGUAAUGCGGAGGAUGCGAGCGUUAUCCGGAUUUAUUGGGUUUAAAGGGUGCGUAGGCGGUUUUUUAAGUUAGUGGUUAAACGUCGGGGCUUCACCUUGAUUUGCCAUUAAUACUGU